GUUAAGCGACUAAGCGUACACGGUGGAUGCCCUGGCAGUCAGAGGCGAUGAAGGACGUGCUAAUCUGCGAUAAGCGUCGGUAAGGUGAUAUGAACCGUUAUAACCGGCGAUUUCCGAAUGGGGAAACCCAGUGUGAUUCGUCACACUAUCAUUAACUGAAUCCAUAGGUUAAUGAGGCGAACCGGGGGAACUGAAACAUCUAAGUACCCCGAGGAAAAGAAAUCAACCGAGAUUCCCCCAGUAGCGG
rnacentral:rRNA from 1 species